rnacentral:lncRNA from 1 species
GGUGACUGAAACUUUUGACUGGUACUGUAUAUCAAAGAACGUGACAUAUAUAUUUUUAUACAUGUUCAUAUAUUUAAAACCCAUAUAUAAAUGUGACAUACAUUUUGAAAUAUACGAUAAUAUAUUUUAAUAACAUAUAUAAAUCUCACACCCCCAUACAAAAAAAAUAAAUAAUGAUAUGUAUUUUCAUCAUGAAUAAUUCCAGAAACAAUUUUUCUUACAUUCCAUAUACACUAACGUUCAAAGGUUUGGGGUCACCUAGAAAUGUCCUUGUUUUUUAAAGAAAAGCACACUUUUUGUCCAUUAAAAUAACAUCAAAUUGAUCAGACAUACAGUCUAGACAUUGUUAAUGUUGUAAAUGACUAUUGUAGCUGGAAAGGGCAGAUUUUUUAUGGAAUAUCUAAAUAGGCGUACAGAGGCCCAUUGUCAGCAACCAUCACUCCUGUGUACCAAUGGUACAUUGUGUUAGCUAAUCCAAGAUGAUCAUUUUAAAAGGCUAAUUGAUCAUUAGAAAACCCUCUUGCAAUUAUGUUAGCACAGCUGAAAACUGUUGUUCUGAUUAAAGAAUCAAUAAAACUGGCCUUUAGACUAGUUGAGUAUCUGGAGCAUCAGCAUUUGUGGGUUCGAUUACAGGCUCACAAUAGCCAGAAAGAGACCUUUCUUCUGAAACUCGUCAGUCUUUUCUUGUGCUGAGAAAUGAAGGCUAUUCCAUGCAAGAAAUUGCCAAGAAACUGAAGAUCUUGUGCAACGCUGUGCACUACUCCCUUUAAAGAACAGUGCAAACUGUCUCUAACCAGAAUAAAAAGAGGAGUGGGAGGCCCCGGUGCACAACUGAGCAAGAGGACAAGUACAUUAGAGUCUGCCAGUUGAGGACUUGUGAGAACGGCCAAUAAUUUCACUUUGACCUUUAAGGGUUUAAGGGUUUAAGUGUGUAGGCCAGUGACACAAAAUCUCAAAUUAAUCCAUUUUAAAUGCAGGCUACAACACAACAAAAUGUGGAAAAAGUCAAUGGGUGUGAAUACUUUCUGAAGACACUGUAAAUAUAAGGCUGCAUUAUAUUUAUUGUCUGAAAUAGGUAGCCUAGGACAUACAGUAGUUAUUGACACCCUUGAUAAAGAUGAGCUAUAAUGACUGUAUAAAAUAAAUUAUUAAAAUAGUGAGCAAUAGUAAAGUAAAAAAUAGGGAAAUUAUAUAAUUUUUGUUCUAAUGCAAUUGCUCAGAGAAAUAUAUUUUGUUUAACAAGUAAUAGUUAAUAUUAUGUCAUAUUUUUUUAUUUCAAAAAGAUAGUGGUCAAAAUUGGCAUGCCUAAAGAUUCUUAUAAAUAAUGUGGUCAAAAGUUUAGUAUUUGGUCCCAUAUUCCUAGCACGCAGAUUAAUUUUGUGUCCCAUAGAAAUGAAUUGUCAUUUUGAAGUCACUUUUAUUAUAAAUAAGAAUAUAAUAUGUUUCUUAACCCUUCUACAUUAAUGUUAUUACAGAUAAUACUGAAUGAAUCGAGAAUAAUGAUGAGUGAAAAAGUUACAGAAGGAACUUACCCCCAAGACAUGCUAACCUCUCACUAUUACCAAUAACAGAGGAGGUUAGCAUGUCUUGGGGUAUGAUACAUCUGAUAAAAACAUCUUUAUUAUUAGGCCCACAAAGAUCCUAUUAAAUUAAUAGGGAUUCCAUAUGUAAUUGUAUGUUUAAGCACCAGUUUCUUUUCGUGCAUGCGCAAGCGUGUCCACGCAUAGGAGGCACUGUAGUGGGAAGAAAUUAAAUCUACUUUCACCCCUGCCUAUAACCAAAAA